CCGCGUGUCCAUUUCUCUCAUUCCCCCUCUCACAAACUGAAAUUUUCAUCUCCCUCCCACUCGUGAGAUAAAAAACCUAAACCAUCCCCUCUCUCUCGAUCUCCCGCGCGUCCCUUUCUCUCUCUAUCUCUCAAACCCUCUCUCACGAAUACUCCCCUCUCACGAACCCAUCUUCUCUCCCCAGCCACCCCCUGUCUCUCAAUCUCAUGAAGACUCCCCUCUCACGACAUAAUCUGCGUCUAUUUUAGCAUGUUAUGUCAGAACCCUUUGAGCCAUCACCUUUCAUGCCUCCUGUUACCAAGGGGUUUGAUAACGACUUUGAUACAACGACUAGCAGGCAACAAAGAAGCCAAGUUGCUGCCUUAGUUAGAUCAUCAACUAGUGAAAAAGAGGAUGGUUCAAAGGAGAGCAACCUGGUGAAGAUUAGAUAAAAGUUGUGGUACGUUGCUUCCAUUCUUUACUACCAGCCACUCACUAUCUGAGACGUUUGUCUGCUAAGCAUGUUUGCAUGCCAGGUUCAAAAAAGGCCUUUGAACAAGGAGCUGUCUCGAAAAGAAGAGGAUAUUGUAACCAUCUAUGAUAAUGCAUACUUAACUGUUCAUGAGCCAAAGCUAAAGGUUUCCUUUUUGCUUGCAUUACUCCUAUCCUUAUUGCAUGGAUAUAUUCAGAGAUUCUGGAGUAUAAUAGAUCUUCAUCUCCUCCCAAAGUGUGUUAUUUCUUACUAUCUUGUGGUGGAUGAUAGUGUCCAUGGCCAAUAGAAGAUCAUGAGCUCAAGGUGAAGGACUCCAAGAUGCUUCUUUUUAGUGAGAAACCAGUUACUAUCUUCAGUGUUAGCCAUGUGCAGUAAGCUUUCGGAUCAAAGCGAAGCUGAGGAUAGGGUGUUAGUUGAUGGAAAAUUAAUAACCAGUAGAGGCACAUCCAUGGAGUUCUCGCUUGUGAUUGUCGAGAAGCUAUUUGGCUGCGAGAAGGCAUUGUAUCUUGUUGUCAAUGAGAACUUUAAAUAGACAUAACUAUUAUGUUGGUAUUGUACUUUUGUAAAUGGAUUAAAAUGAAUGAAUGAAUGAUUCAGCCA